rnacentral:misc_RNA from 1 species
AUAAAACCUACGUAAAGUGGUAUGGUGGGGUUUGGAUUGAAGCAGAGAUUUGUUACCUAGUCAGGCCCUGGAGAUGAUCAGAUUGUUCAGUGCUGACACAAUACCUAAAAGCUUGUAACUGAGAACACUCAUAUAGCCACAUAAUCUGCCUGAACUCAGAAAAAUGGUGUCAUAAACUUACUUUGUCUCAGUCAUAUGAACAUCUCUUGCCCGUUUGAAGUAUAUUUUCUAUCUAUUAAAUUAUGAGAGCGUUACUGGCAUUAGCAUUUAGGAUCUACCAGGUGAGGAAGAAGAAAUAAUUAUUUAUACAAAAGGAAUCUUUAGUUUAUAACAAUUUUCUUGGCGUCAUAAACAAUAUCUUACUUAAUUAACAAUUUUAUAUUAACUUAAAUAUAAUUGAAUUGCUAAAUUUAUCAAAACUCAACUCAAAAUCCCAAACAGCUAAACCAAGGAAUCCUCGAGAGCAAGCGCUGA